UAGCACAGGGAACUCUAUCCAAUAUGGUAAUAAUUUAUAUGGGAAAAGAAUCUGAAAAAGAAUGGGUAUGUGUAUAUGUGUAACUGUGUCACUUUGUUGUAUAGCAGAUACUAUCACAACAUUGUAAAUCAACUGUAUUUCAAUAAAACUUUAAGAAAUAAGUUUAAAAAACUAAAAAAUAUAAAAACGAAAACAACAACAAAAAAUUUUGAGUCAAUCCCCAGGGUUUGCUUUGUAAGGCGAUCUGACUCUAGUAAAAACGUCCCUAUUCUAUGCUUAUAAAUUUAUAUGAAAAUGAUCACAGAUUGUGUAUCAAAUUGAAUACAGAAUUAAUUAUAUUUGCAAUCAAAAAUAGUAUUCAAAUGUUUAAUAAAUGAAAAAAAUCUCUAAGAAAAAAAAACAAAAAAAGAGUUACUGAGAUGGGUCAGAAACCAACCUCUCCCUAAACAGACCUCAGCCUUUUCUUUUCUCUUCUAAUGAAAACAGACGUAUAUCAUUAACUCUGUCUCUUCUGGAUGAAAGCUGAAAGCUGUCUAAUAAGCAAUAAAUGAAUGAAUGCCAGGAAAUAUACACGCUAGCUUCUCUAAAGCCCAGCUCAAUUUCUACCCCGUGAAAGUACAGAAGCACACUCAGUUGAUGGAAUAAAAUCUUUUCAGCGUGUGCUUUUAGCAGGGGAUCACAUUUUGCAUGAGUGAUAAUCUCAUUUUUAUGCACAAACCGAUUCAGUGAUUUCAACCUUUUAACAAUCUAUUACUCCUCUGGGUUGAUGAAAGUCUUAUGCUUCCCCUUUCUUGGGGGGUUUGGGCCUCUCCCAAGGGCAGGGAGGAAGCAUAAUUUUUCUUCUACCUUUCUAUGUUCUUGGCUGAGACCCCUCUUCUAAUAAAAGACAGAUGAAUAGGGGGAAAGCAAAUAAAAGUUUAAUAGUAUGUAUACCUUCUGUAUACACGGGGGGAUGAUCAAGAAAACUGAGUAACUCCUGUGAUAGCCCAACCCAUCACCUUAAAUACCAUCUUCACCCCAAGAAGAUGCUGGUGGGAGGAAACCAAUUAUGAGAGGUCAUCUGGCAGCAUACAAUAUACAGCAUACAGAUAGAAGUCCUUACUUUCCCCAUUGAUAGACAUUUUAAGAGAUUUGAUAAUCCUCUUCUUGGUAAAGAGAGGGAGAUAGCUUUACAAAUGGAGAUUUCACCUGUAAAUGUAAUAUAUAUUUCAAAAGAGUAACUUCUAGGUUUUCAGAGUUUUUUUCCUAUUUCUGGCACAACUCAAAUGGAGAGGAAGAAAUCAAUUUUGCCUUUUAGAUGAAGUCAGGGACAACGUUGAAGAAGAGAGAACAUUUGAGUUGCGUCUUUGGAGAUGAGAGGAUGGUCUGGAAUGGAGGAAAGGCCAUCCAGGCAGAAGGAACACGUGAGUUCCCAUCGUGGCGGCGCAGUGGUUAACGAAUCCGACUAGGAACCAUGAGGUUGCGGGUUUGAUCCCUGCCCUUGCUCAGUGGAUUAAGGAUUCGGUGUUGCCAUGAGCUGUGCUGUGGGUUGCAGACAUGGCUCGGAUCCCGAGUUGCUGUGGCUAUGGUGUAGACUGGCAGCUACAGCUCUGAUUUGACCCCUAGCCUGGGAACCUCCACAUGCUGCAGGAGAGGCCCCAGAAAAGGCAAAAAGCC
rnacentral:lncRNA from 1 species